rnacentral:rRNA from 1 species
UGAAGGCGGAUUUAGCAGUAAAAAGAAAAUAGAGAGUUCUUUUUAAUUAGGCGCUGGGACGCGUACACACCGCCCGUCACCCUCUUCAAACGCCCACAAACGUUAAUUAACACCUAACCGCACAAUAGAAGAGGUAAGUCGUAACACGGUAAGCGUACUGGAAAGUGCGCUUGGACUAACAA